GACGAACGCUGGCGGCGUGCUUAACACAUGCAAGUCGAGCGAGGCCCCUCCUUCGGGAGGGUGUCCUAGCGGCGAACGGGUGAGUAACACGUGGGCAACCUGCCCUCAGCUCUGGGAUAACUCCGGGAAACCGGGGCUAAUACCGGAUACGACCUCCACGGGCAUCUGCGGAGGUGGAAAGUUUUUCGGCUGAGGAUGGGCCCGCGGCCUAUCAGCUAGUUGGUGGGGUAGUGGCCCACCAAGGCGACGACGGGUAGCCGGCCUGAGAGGGCGACCGGCCACACUGGGACUGAGACACGGCCCAGAAUCCUACGGGAGGCAGCAGUGGGGAAUAUUGCGCAAUGGGCGAAAGCCUGACGCAGCGACGCCGCGUGAGGGACGAAGGCCUUCGGGUUGUAAACCUCUUUCAGCAGGGACGAAGCGAAAGUGACGGUACCUGCAGAAGAAGCACCGGCCAACUACGUG
rnacentral:rRNA from 1 species